GCGCUCGUAGCUCAAUUGGAUAGAGCACAUGACUACGGAUCAUGAGGUUUAGGGGUUCAAGUCCUCUCGAGCGCG
rnacentral:tRNA from 1 species